rnacentral:lncRNA from 1 species
GCACUUUAAGUUAAUUGGUGUGUCUACAUUGUCCCAGUCGUAGCGAGUGCACGGAGUGUGUGACUGUGCCCUCCGAUGGAUGGCAUCCUCUCUGGGGUUGGUUUUUGCCUUGUGUUCUCAGCUGCUGGGACACCCAUGCCCCUGAACUGGAUGGAAUUAGCAGGGUCCAGAAUCUCAUAGAUUAUGUUAAGAAGAUUGCUUCCACACCAAUUCUCCUACUCCAGUCCUUUUUAAAACGGACUCUGUAGCAAGAGGCAAUUCACGAAGAAAAAUAGCAAGCCAUGGCAUCUCCCACAAGCCAGGGCUGACUGCAAAUUUGAAUGAUCUUUUUCAUAAAUUCCACCAAUAUCUGACCACAAACUGAGUGAUGAAAGCCUACAGUCAGUCAACCACAAAUAAUUUCCUACUACCCACUAGGAAUGAGCUGCUAUGUCAAAUACUCCUGGGAAAACAAGUUCAUUUGUGGAAUAGCCCCUUCUCUGUGGCAUUGAUAUGGCAUGCCAAUUUUGUCAUAUAAUGAGGUUCCACACAAGCAUGGUUCUGUUUCUCAGCAUUCUGACUGUUUCUGCACCUAUGCCACACUGAAUAACCAAAGCUCAAGAGUUAAGUCAUCUGGUUUAACAGUUCUGGAGGCUGGGAAGUGCAAGACCAAGAUAUGAACAGAUUCAUUAUCUGGUACAGAUACCCUGCAUAUUUUUGGCCUCAUAUGAAGAAAGAAAUGUUUUUGAAAGUUUACGUGUGUGCAUUUAUCAUCAUAAAUACAUUUAAUUCAUUGUAAAGACAUAGCAAGAUAAUCAGCUGUCUGAUAAUUAUAAGGUGUUGAUUAGAAAAUAGGUACUUACUUUAAAUAAAAUUGUUAUAUUAAACUAUCUGGCUUUACCUGCCCUUUAAUGCCUUUUGAGAAUGUCAAGAUCUGCAGAAACAUAGAUUUAUUGAAAUUAAUUCUAAAAUAGCACAGCAUUUGCAGUGGUUUUGGUAAUUCUCUAGCUCAGAUGUAUAAGCUCAGAUUUUUAUAUACAUCCACAGAACAUUUUUCAUUGUGUAGGAGAUCAAAGAUUCUUAAUCAUACUACAGAUUGGACACUGCUAGCUAAUUGGGUAGUUAUAAUACUAUUUAGUUCAUUUCUUAAUGGAAAGUUGGAAUAAACAUAGCAGAAGUGUAGUUAACGUUAUAAAGCAUGAUUCUCUGUAUAUAUUUCUCAAUUUUGAUGCGAUAAGAUGAGCCCGUCUUAUCCAAAGCACUUAAUGGCUUCUUAAAUAUAUCCUUGAUUACUCAAAUACACAAGGCAUUCUUAUUGGAAACCUUAUCAAAGUAAAUAUUCAUAACUGGAAAACAAUUCCCCAAAAUUAACACAUCACGACAUAAUAAAACAUUUUGCCCUGAGGACUGUCUUUAUUACCAGCAAGACAAGCAUAAAGAAACAUUGGAAAAAGAGAAUGCUGUAAUCAAAUAGCAUAAUGUAUAUAUUGUAUAUAAUAUAUAAUAUAAAUACAUAUGAUACAUAUGUAUGAUAUAUGUAUAUUCUGGAUUCACCUCUAUGACCUGUUCUUUGACUAGAAAUAUUUUGAGAUGAUCUAGCUUAUGUCAAGCCAUCACUUAAUACUUAUUUUUUUAAGAAUAGUUUUAGGUUACAGCAAAAAUGGAGAGGAAGAUACAGAGAUUUCCCACAUACCUCCUGCCUUCACACAUGCAUAGUCUCCCCCAUUAUCAACAUCACACACUAAGUGCUACUUUUAAUUGAUGAAUCUAUAUUGACAUAUCAUAAUCAUGCAAAAUCCAGAGUUUACGUUAGGAUUUACUGUUGAUAUUGUACAUUCUUUAGGUCUGCACAAAUGUAUAAUAACAUGUAUCCACAAUUAGGGCACUAUGCAAAAUGAUUUCAGUUCCCUAUAAAUCAUCUGUGCUCCAUCUUUCAUCCCUCCUGCUCCCCAACCUCUAGCAACCACUGAUUGUUUUUUACUGUCACCACAAUUCUGCCCUUCACAGAAUCUCAUAUUGUGGGAAUCACAUGGUAUAUAACCUUUUAAGACUGGCUUCUUUCUUUUAAUAAUAUGCCUGUAAUGUUCUUUCCAUGGCUUGACAGCUCAUUUCUCUUCAGUGCUGAAUAAUAUUCCAUUGUAGGAUGUACCACAUUUAUGUGUUUACCUACUGAAG